UAUUUCAACUAACGAUAAAAAGGUAUUUAUUGAGGUAUAUGAAGUCAUGUUAUUUAUACCUAAGCUAAUUUUGAGGUUGUUUUAAAUUCACUUCAAAUCAUCCAGACUGAUAAGAGGAUUUUUAAGCUAUACGAGGUUGUUUCUCUUACACUUGUAACAAAAGAGGUAUUUAUGAGGUAUAAAAAAAUCAACCUUAUUUCAACUAACGAGAGUGAGGUAAUUACGAGGUAUAAAAAAUAUACCUUUUUUCUACUAACGAUAUUGAGGUAUUUAUGAGGUAUAAAAAAAUAUACCUUAUUUCAACUAAAGAGAGUGAGGUAUUUAUUGAGGUGUUGAAGUCAUUUUAUUUAUACCUAAGCUUGUUUUAAGGUUGCUUAAAGUACACUUCAUAUUAACUAACUCACUUCCCAGAGUUCCAUGCGAGCCGGCAAAUGGCGUGUGUGUUGACAAUCGAAAGUCUAUUCGAAAUUCGAGCUUAUCCACAGUUCCCUGAUAUUACUGAGAUGGCCUAGGCUGUAAAUAGCACAUGCGCGGCGGCGCAGAAGAAGAGACAAGCAAGCUACUGCUCAGCCUUCCCCUAGGAUAUAGUUCUGAAUUUAUACCUAAAAGAAAAAGUUCCAAUAAUUACAAGUUUCAACAUGUAGACGGAAACAGUAUUUAAAAUAAUUUUGUUGGUUUGUAAAAAAAGUGAAAUUUUAGUUUUAAAUAAAAGUACUUUGAAUUUCA